AGAGUUUGAUCCUGGCUCAGAACGAACGCUGGCGGCAUGCCUAACACAUGCAAGUCGAACGCUCGUAGCAAUACGGGAGUGGCGGACGGGUGAGUAACGCGUGGGAACCUGCCCUUGAGUGUGGGAUAACCGGUGGAAACGCCGGCUAAUACCGCAUACGUCCUGAGGGAGAAAGAUUUAUCGCUCAGGGAUGGGCCCGC
rnacentral:rRNA from 1 species